CCUACGGGUGGCAGCAGUGAGGAAUAUUGGUCAAUGGACGAGAGUCUGAACCAGCCAAGUAGCGUGAAGGAUGACUGCCCUAUGGGUUGUAAACUUCUUUUAUAAAGGAAUAAAAUGAGGCACGUGUGCCUUUUUGCAUGUACUUUAUGAAUAAGGAUCGGCUAACUCCGUGCCAGCAGCCGCGGUAAUACGGAGGAUCCGAGCGUUAUCCGGAUUUAUUGGGUUUAAAGGGAGCGUAGAUGGGUUGUUAAGUCAGUUGUGAAAGUUUGCGGCUCAACCGUAAAAUUGCAAUUGAUACUGGCAGUCUUGAGUACAUUUGAGGUAGGCGGAAUGCGUGGUGUAGCGGUGAAAUGCUUAGAUAUCACGAAGAACCCCGAUUGCGAAGGCAGCUUACUAAACUGUGACUGACGUUGAUGCUCGAAAGUGUGGGGAUCAAACAGGAUUAGAUACCCGAGUAGUC
rnacentral:rRNA from 1 species